GAAUAAACUUGAACAGGCUGUUGCUGAUCCCUAGGGAUAUGUGCACGCNUGUCAUCUUUGUUUUUCCAACUGUGCACAUAUUGUAGACUCUGGAAUAUAUUUUUAUUUCAUGUAGAUUUGGGAUUGCUUCAUGGCUUUGCCUUGCAUUUUCAGAGUCUAUGUCAUUUUUUCACAACAUCUGUAUGAAUUUGGAAUAAAAAGUUGAAAAAUAUAAAUACAACUUUCAGCAACGGAUCUCUUGGCUCUCGCAUCGAUGAAGAACGCAGCGAAAUGCGAUAAGUAAUGUGAAUUGCAGAAUUCAGUGAAUCAUCGAAUCUUUGAACGCAUCUUGCGCUCCUUGGUAUUCUGAGGAGCAUGCCUGUUUGAGUGUCAUAAAGUUCUCAACCACAUCAGUUCUCUGGUAUGGCUUGGAAAUGGGGGGAUCUGCUGGCCUUGGAAACAAAGUCUGCUCCCCUGAAAUGUAUUAGUGGUAUAGGCUUUUUACUACUGUAGGCGGUGAUAAUUUAUCUACGUCUUGUGUACAAAUGCCAGAACUGCUUCUAAACAAAAAAUAUAUGGUGAUUUGACCUCAAAUCAGGUAGGACUACCCGCUGAACUUAAGCAUAUCAAUAAGCGGAGGAAAAGAAACUAACAAGGANUCCCCUAGUAACUGCGAGUGAAGCGGGAAAAGCUCAAAUUUAAAAUCUG
rnacentral:rRNA from 1 species